rnacentral:rRNA from 1 species
GAGUUUGAUCAUGGCUCAGAUUGAACGCUGGCGGCAUGCCUUACACAUGCAAGUCGAACGGCAGCACGGGAGCUUGCUCCUGGGUGGCGAGUGGCGAACGGGGUGAGUAAUGCAUCGGAACGUAUCCUGGAGUGGGGGAUAACGUAGCGAAAGUUACGCUAAUACCGCAUAUUCUGUGAGCAGGAAAGCGGGGGACCUUCGGGCCUCGCGCUCUUGGAGCGGCCGAUGUCGGAUUAGCUAGUUGGUGAGGUAAAGGCUCACCAAGGCGACGAUCCGUAGCAGGUCUGAGAGGAUGAUCUGCCACACUGGAACUGAGACACGGUCCAGACUCCUACGGGAGGCAGCAGUGGGGAAUUUUGGACAAUGGGGGCAACCCUGAUCCAGCCAUGCCGCGUGAGUGAAGAAGGCCUCGG